rnacentral:rRNA from 1 species
UACGUAGGGGGCAAGCGUUGUCCGGAAUUACUGGGCGUAAAGAGCUCGUAGGUGGUUUGUCGCGUUGUUCGUGAAAACUCACAGCUUAACUGUGGGCGUGCGGGCGAUACGGGCGGACUUGAGUACUGCAGGGGAGACUGGAAUUCCUGGUGUAGCGGUGAAAUGCGCAGAUAUCAGGAGGAACACCGGUGGCGAAGGCGGGUCUCUGGGCAGUAACUGACGCUGAGGAGCGAAAGCGUGGGGAGCGAACAGG